GCCCAGCCAGAUGCCGGCUCACGGCCGCGCCCCCUCCCCCGCCCGGGGUUCUGCCGCGCCCGCCAGCACCGCCGCAGCCGCUCGGGUCGGCCACGGGCGCAGGUGCGGGUCGCCGUGCGUGCCGCGGCAGCUCGUACGCCUUGCGGGCUUAAUCCACGUGUCCUUUUUUUUUCGGUCAUGAUCUUCGGUGCAAGAUGAGCCCAAAAGCUGCGCUUCUUCGUUCGGUUUUCAGUCCUUUGAUGGCAAACGAGUGUUUUUCCUCAACUGCUGUUCAUGAAGAACGAGCUUCUGAUACCUCGAAAGGAAUGGAGGUAUUCUCUUUGCGUGUGUUCUGCACUUGUGCUUAACGGCUUUUUUUUUCCUGGCCUUUGUUUGCCUUGGUGUUAACUUGUCUGUUGCGAGUGGAAAAUAUUUGUGAGGAGGACAGCGAGGAGGGUGAUGAUAAUCGUACUGACGCCCAGUCAUACGGUCCGUGUCGAUGGCGGAUUGCUAUGGUGACUUAUCAAUCCAACUCUGACUCCUCGAUUGUCUUCCAUAGGACGAGUGUCAUCUUUCUUCUCCAUUCUGAUUUUCCUGACCUAUUUGCGUUUUUUUUUCUUGUUUGGAUGGCACCUUCUCUACACUAAUACACUCUUUGGUUCGAUAACUUUUUGAAAAACUUUGAACUGCUUUGUUGAAAAA